CGUACGUGAACCUGCGGAAGGAUCAUUA
rnacentral:rRNA from 1 species